rnacentral:rRNA from 1 species
CCUACGGGGGGCAGCAGUGAGGAAUAUUGGUCAAUGGACGAAAGCCUGAACCAGCCAAGUCGCGUGAAGGAUGACUGCCCUGCGGGUUGUAAACUUCUUUUAUCUGGGAAUAAAAUGUUGCACGUGUGCGUUUUUGUAUGUACCCUAUGAAUAAGCAUCGGCUAACUCCGUGCCAGCAGCCGCGGUAAUACGGAGGCUCCGAGCGUUAUCCGGAUUUAUUGGGUUUAAAGGGAGCGUAGUCGGGUUGUUAAGUCAGUUGUGAAAGUUUGAGGAUCAAACGUAAAAUGGCACUUGAUACUGGCAGUGUUGAGUACAGUAGAGGUAGGCGGAAUGCGGGGUGUAGCGGUGAAAUGCUUAGAUAGCACGAAGAACUACGAUUGCGAAGGCAGUUGACUGGACUGCAACUGACACUGAGGCUCGAAAGUGUGGGUAUCAAACAGGAUUAGAUACCCUAGGAGUC